UACAGGGGGCAAGCGUUGUUCGGAAUUACUGGGCGUAAAGGUCUGUAGGUGGCCAACUAAGUCAGACGUGAAAUCCCUCAGCUUAACUGGGAACUGCGUCUGAUACUGGAUGGCUUGAGUGUGGGAGAGGAAUGCGGAAUUCCAGGUGUAGCGGUGAAAUGCGUAGAUAUCUGGAGGAACACCGGUGGCGAAGGCGGCAUUCUGGACCAUAACUGACACUGAGAGACGAAGCCA
rnacentral:rRNA from 1 species